CCCACGCCUUCCGUAGCACGAGCUUGAAUCAUUUACUAUGAAACCGGUGACUAAGGGAGAUACAGCGUGUUGAACCACUGAAGCACGCCCCCCCACACACACCAGCCAGAAAAGGGAUACCCCGUCGGCUCUGGACCUGGCAAAUGUACCUGGGCUCCCCCUGGAGGCCACAUUCUCCGAGGUCCCCUUUCGGUCCCCAGUGUCCCUCAGGUAUUCCGUUUUAAUCCCGGAGAACUGAUACACCCUAGUGCUCUGAAACUUGGCCUGUGCUCGAGGCGGCAACCCCUGCCCCUCUGCCUGGCGACGCUUGAACACAUCCGUCUGGCCAGGUCCCCAUUCACUGGCCAAGAGUGUAGCAUUGAACAUGGGGCACUGGGGCGGGGGUGCACUCCACGCUGACACCACACCCCACCCCUUAACUUGCUGACCAGGGAUAAUCGCUUCCUUUCAUCGAUUCACAGCGUUAGAAAAAUGCAGCGUUGAGAGGCAGCGCGGAGGUCAACUGGACCAUCAUCCUUAGUUUGCAGGGAAGAAAACUGAGACCUGGAAAGAUGAAGCAGUUGUUCCAAAGGCUGCUCCCAGUACUCAAGGACUUGGAGCACACUUGGGGAGAUUCUCACUGUUGUAUUCCCAUUCCUCACUUUUCAGGAGGCCUGAACUCUCAAACUCCGAAUCUGAUUUCCACUCUCCCAGGAAGGCUAUGGAAAUAACGGAAAGUUCCUUGCAGAUUCUCACUGAGCCUCUCCCCAGGCCCCACCCUUUGGCCCUGUGUGUCUGCGAGUAGGAAUGCGCAUUGCUAGCUACUUUCGAUGCAAUGAACCUGGAAGAUAUUUUGUAUGGACUGAAUAACAGGUUGAGGAAGGCAGAACAGUGCCUUCAGGUCAGUUCCUGGUUCAAAACCGGCCUCUGCCACUUGCUCUUAGAGGUAAAGAGAGCAGGGCCUGCCCUGUUCUUCGCUUGCAGGACCAUUUGUUCAGGCAGCUUUUGCAGGGACUCGUAUUCCGAAAGGAGGGUCUAUCCAGGAGCUUGAGAAGGAGAGCACUCAGCCACGAGAGGUGGAUUGUCAAUACAGGAGUCCAUACUGACUUUGAAUCCCUAAUUUUGGCCUGUAUUCUUCUUCCUCUCUGAACCAUCUUCUUGGAAGUCACUGCAUCGAGAGUGCCAGAAAAACAUCCCAAGACCCACACAGGGUUGUGCCUCAUAGUGGAUGUUUUGGCCACUGGACAUCAGAACCACAUUUUGAGUUUGAAGAAUAUUCUACAUGGUGAGCCUUGGUGGGAAGAAAAGAAUAUCCCUUCCUUAUAGAAGCUGAAAUUACAGACUCUUGCUUUCCUUGUCAGACUUAAAAGCUAGUGUAGCUAGAGUUAAAUACAGGGCACAUUGUCUCUGGAGACUGCAGCUUUAGUGGUGGGUACACAAUUCAGUUCCUGACCCAGGAAGUGGCACAUUAGGGCAGGCAGUGAGGUUGGUUGUGGUAUAAUUGAGUUCCUGGUUCAGAAGUGACAACUGUACACAUAGGAUGUCUAGGGUUUGGUGAAAGCAAUGGUAUUGAAAGUGGUUUUCUCAUCAAA